rnacentral:rRNA from 1 species
CCUACGGGGGGCAGCAGUGGGGAAUAUUGGACAAUGGGGGGAACCCUGAUCCAGCCAUGCCGCGUGUGUGAAGAAGGCCCUCGGGUUGUAAAGCACUUUCAGUGAGGAAGAAAGCCUGGUGGUUAAUACCCAUCAGGAAAGACAUCACUCACAGAAGAAGCACCGGCUAACUCCGUGCCAGCAGCCGCGGUAAUACGGAGGGUGCGAGCGUUAAUCGGAAUUACUGGGCGUAAAGCGCGCGUAGGUGGCUUGAUAAGCCGGUUGUGAAAGCCCCGGGCUCAACCUGGGAACGGCAUCCGGAACUGGCAAGCUAGAGGGCAGGAGAGGAAGGUAGAACUCCCGGUGGAGCGGUGAAAUGCGUAGAGAUCGGGAGGAAUACCAGUGGCGAAGGCGGCCUUCUGGACUGACACUGACACUGAGGUGCGAAAGCGUGGGUAGCAAACAGGAUUAGAUACCCUUGUAGUC